UACGUAUGGUGCAAGCGUUAAUCGGAAUUACUGGGCGUAAAGCGUGCGCAGGCGGUUUUGUAAGUCUGUCGUGAAAUCCCCGGGCUCAACCUGGGAAUUGCGAUGGAGACUGCAAGGCUAGAAUCUGGCAGAGGGGGGUAGAAUUCCACGUGUAGCAGUGAAGUGCGUAGAGAUGUGGAGGAACACCGAUGGCGAAGGCAGCCCCCUGGGUCAAGAUUGACGCUCAUGCACGAAAGCGUGGGGAGCAAACAGG
rnacentral:rRNA from 1 species